AUCCAGCUGACGAGUCCUAAAUAAGACGAAACGUGAGUCCCAAAU
rnacentral:hammerhead_ribozyme from 1 species